CACUGCCGAGAAAAGCCUCUAGAUAGAAAAUAGGUGCCCGUACCGCAAACCGACACAGGUAGUCAAGAUGAGAAUUCUAAGGUGAGCGAGCGAACUCUCGUUAAGGAACUCGGCAAAAUGACCCCGUAACUUCGGGAGAAGGGGUGCUCUUUAGGGUUAACGCCCAGAAGAGCCGCAGUGAAUAGGCCCAAGCGACUGUUUAUCAAAAACACAGGUCUCUGCUAAACCGUAAGGUGAUGUAUAGGGGCUGACGCCUGCCCGGUGCUGGAAGGUUAAGAGGAGUGGUUAGCUUCUGCGAAGCUACGAAUCGAAGCCCCAGUAAACGGCGGCCGUAACUAUAACGGUCCUAAGGUAGCGAAAUUCCUUGUCGGGUAAGUUCCGACCCGCACGAAAGGCGUAACGAUUUGGGCACUGUCUCAACGAGAGACUCGGUGAAAUCAUAGUACCUGUGAAGAUGCAGGUUACCCGCGACAGGACGGAAAGACCCCGUGGAGCUUUACUGUAGC
rnacentral:rRNA from 1 species